rnacentral:rRNA from 1 species
GUGAGGUAGUGGCUCACCAAGGCGACGACGGGUAGCCGGCCUGAGAGGGCGACCGGCCACACUGGGACUGAGACACGGCCCAGACUCCUACGGGAGGCAGCAGUGGGGAAUAUUGCGCAAUGGGCGAAAGCCUGACGCAGCAACGCCGCGUGCGGGAUGAAGGCCUUCGGGUUGUAAACCGCUUUCAGCAGGGAAGAAGCGAAAGUGACGGUACCUGCAGAAGAAGCACCGGCUAACUACGUGCCAGCAGCCGCGGUAAUACGUAGGGUGCAAGCGUUGUCCGGAUUUAUUGGGCGUAAAGAGCUCGUAGGCGGUUAGUCACGUCGGAUGUGAAAACUCAGUGCUUAACACUGAGCCUGCAUUCGAUACGGGCUGACUAGAGUAUUGUAGGGGAGACUGGAACUCCUGGUGUAGCGGUGAAAUGCGCAGAUAUCAGGAAGAACACCGGUGGCGAAGGCGGGUCUCUGGGCAAUUACUGACGCUGAGGAGCGAAAGUGUGGGGAGCAAACAGGAUUAGAUACCCUGGUAGUCCACACCGUAAACGGUGGGCGCUAGGUGUGGGGAUCAUUCCACGAUCUCCGUGCCGCAGCUAACGCAUUAAGCG